rnacentral:tRNA from 1 species
GGUUCAAGUCCCUCUAUCCCCAACUCUACUCCCCAAAAGA